AGCGAACGCUGGCGGCAGGCUUAACACAUGCAAGUCGAACGCCAUCUUCGGAUGGAGUGGCAGACGGGUGAGUAACGCGUGGAAACAUACCUUUUGCUUCGGAAUAUUCCCGGGAAACUGGGAGCAAUACCGAAUACGCCCUGAGGGGGAAAGAUUUAUCGGCAAAAGAUUGGUCCGCGUUAGAUUAGGUAGUUGGUAGGGUAAUGGCCUACCAAGCCUACGAUCUAUAGGUGGUCUGAGAGGAUGAUCAGCCACACUGGGACUGAGACACGGCCCAAACUCCUACGGGGGGCAGCAGUGGGGAAUAUUGGACAAUGGGCGAAAGCCUGAUCCAGCCAUGCCGCGUGAAUGAUGAAGGCCUUAGGGUUGUAAAAUUCUUUAACCGGGGACGAUAAUGACGGUACCCGGAGAAGAAGCCCCGGCUAACUUCGUGCCAGCAGCCGCAGUAA
rnacentral:rRNA from 1 species